UACGGAGGGUGCGAGCGUUGUCCGGAAUCACUGGGCGUAAAGGGCGCGUAGGCGGCCUGAUAAGUAGGGGGUGAAAUCCUGCGGCUUAACCGCAGGGCUGCCUUCUAAACUGUCAGGCUCGAGCACAGUAGAGGCAGGUGGAAUUCCCGGUGUAGCGGUGGAAUGCGUAGAGAUCGGGAAGAACAUCAGUGGCGAAGGCGGCCUGCUGGGCUGUUGCUGACGCUGAUGCGCGAAAGCGUGGGGAGCAAACGGG
rnacentral:rRNA from 1 species